CGCGGGGUGGAGCAGCUUGGUAGCUCGUCGGGCUCAUAACCCGGAGGUCGUAGGUUCAAAUCCUGCCCCCGCAA
rnacentral:tRNA from 2 species